UUCAUCAUGUUAGCCAUCAUGGCUUCCAAUGAUGUAGUUUGCUGAGGGAUAGGGGCACUAUAAGUAGGAAUAGGUGGAGCCAAUGAUUGGUUUAUUUGUGAGGGACCUAUCCUGGAAAAAUUCUUCUGAAAACCUGGUGGACCACCUUGAUGUUGAAUAGGUUCAUUUUGCUUGUAUGAGAAAUUUGGGUGGAACCUAUUAUCAGGGUGGUAGACUGGGCUGAAUGAAUUGGGAGUGGGCUUCUUGAAGGCACUAUAUGAGUUUAGAGCAUUUGCCUGCUCA
rnacentral:lncRNA from 1 species